rnacentral:lncRNA from 1 species
CUUUAAAAAAAUAUUUUAAAACAGAAAUAAAUUUUAAAAAUUUGAUAAGUAUAUUCUUUUUCCAAAAGUUAUAAAAAAAUAAAUUUAAAAAACAUAUAUCUAAAAUUUCUCAAAAAAUUGUAUAAAAAUAUAAACAAAAUUACAAUAAGAAUUCUAAAAAUAUAAAUAAAUAUUAAAAAUAAAAAAGUCUACUCCACAAUUUCCUUCUUUUAAA